rnacentral:rRNA from 1 species
CAGUAGCCACGGUAAUGCGUAGGUGGCAAGCGUUGUCCGGAAUUAUUGGGCGUAAAGGGCUCGCAGGCGGUUUCUUAAGCCUGAUGUGAAAGCCCCCGGCUCAACCGGGGAGGGUCAUUGGAAACUGGGAAACUUGAGUGCAGAAGAGGAGAGUGGAAUUCCACGUGUAGCGGUGAAAUGCGUAGAGAUGUGGAGGAACACCAGUGGCGAAGGCGACUCUCUGGUCUGUAACUGACGCUGAGGAGCGAAAGCGUGGGGAGCGAACAGGAUUAGAUACCCCGGUAGUCCCUGUCUCUUAUAC